rnacentral:rRNA from 1 species
CUGGGCUAAUACCGCAUAAUACCUACGGGUCAAAGGAGCAAUUCGCUUAAGGAGGGGGUCGCGGCCGAUUAGUUAGUUGGCGGGGUAAUGGCCCACCAAGACAGUGAUCGGUAUCCGGCCUGAGAGGGCGCACGGACACACUGGAACUGAAACACGGUCCAGACUCCUACGGGAGGCAGCAGUGGGGAAUUUUGCGCAAUGGGGGAAACCCUGACGCAGCAACGCCGCGUGGAGGAUGAAGUCUCUUGGGACGUAAACUCCUUUCGAUCGGGACGAUAAUGACGGUACCGAGAGAAGAAGCCCCGGCUAACUUCGUGCCAGCAGCCGCGGUAAUACGAGGGGGGCGAGCGUUGUUCGGAAUUAUUGGGCGUAAAGGGUGCGUAGGCGGUUCGGUAAGUCUUGUGUGAAAUCUUCGGGCUCAACUCGAAGUCUGCACUAGAAACUGCCGGGCUUGAGUGUGGGAGAGGUGAGUGGAAUUUCCGGUGUAGCGGUGAAAUGCGUAGAUAUCGGAAGGAACACCUGUGGCGAAAGCGGCU